rnacentral:rRNA from 1 species
UACGGGGGGGAGCAAGUGUUGUUCGGAUUUACUGGGCGUAAAGGGCGCGUAGGCGGUCGUGACAAGUCACUUGUGAAAUCUCCGGGCUUAACUCGGAACGGUCAAGUGAUACUGUCGGACUAGAGUACAGAAGGGGCAACUGGAAUUCUCGGUGUAGCGGUGAAAUGCGUAGAUAUCGAGAGGAACACCUGCGGCGAAGGCGGGUUGCUGGGCUGAUACUGACGCUGAGGCGCGAAAGCCAGGGGAGCGAACGGG